rnacentral:rRNA from 1 species
AUUGAACGCUGGCGGCAGGCUUAACACAUGCAAGUCGAACGAGUGGCGGACGGGUGAGUAAUGCCUGGGAAUCUGGCUUAUGGAGGGGGAUAACUAUGGGAAACUGUAGCUAAUACCGCGUACCAUAGGAUGAGCCCAUGUGGGAUUAGGUAGUUGGUGAGGUAAAGGCUCACCAAGUCGACGAUCCCUAGCUGGUCUGAGAGGAUGACCAGCCACACUGGCACUGAGACACGGCCCAGACUCCUACGGGAGGCAGCAGUGGGGAAUAUUGCACAAUGGGGGCAAGCCUGAUGCAGCCAUGCCGCGUGAAUGAAGAAGGCCUUCGGGUUGUAAAGUACGUUCAGCGGGGAGGCGUUAACUGCAGAAGAAGCACCGGCUAACUCCGUGCCAGCAGCCGCGGUAAUAC